UACGGGGGGGGCAAGCGUUGUUCGGAAUUACUGGGCGUAAAGGGCGCGUAGGCGGUUCGCUAAGUUGGAUGUGAAAACUCUGGGCUCAACCCAGAGCCUGCAUCCAAAACUGGCGGGCUAGAGUUCUGGAGGGGGUAGCGGAAUUCCUGGUGUAGCGGUGAAAUGCGUAGAUAUCAGGAGGAACACCCAUGGCGAAGGCAGCAGACUGGGCGUUUCCUGACGCUGAGGCGCGAAAGCGUGGGUAGCAAACAGG
rnacentral:rRNA from 1 species